rnacentral:rRNA from 1 species
AACGCGAAGAACCUUACCUGGGCUUGACAUGCCAGGAUUAUCCCGGUGAAAGUCGGGUAGGCCCCGCAAGGGGUACAACUGGUACAGGUGCUGCAUGGCUGUCGUCAGCUCGUGUCGUGAGAUGUCGGGUUAAGUCCCGCAACGAGCGCAACCCUCGUCCUAUGUUGCCAGCGGGUAAUGCCGGGGACUCAUAGGAGACUGCCGGGGUCAACUCGGAGGAAGGUGGGGAUGACGUCAAGUCCUCAUGCCCCUUAUGUCUUGGGCUGCAAACAUGCUACAAUGGCCAGUACAAAGGGUUGCGAGACCGCAAGGUGGAGCGAAUCCCAAAAAGCUGGUCUCAGUUCGGAUUGGGGUCUGCAACUCGACCCCAUGAAGUCGGAGUCGCUAGUAAUCGCAGAUCAGCAACGCUGCGGUGAAUACGUUCCCGGGCCUUGUACACACCGAUAGC